rnacentral:lncRNA from 1 species
CCCAAAGUGACAUAAUUAGCAAGUGGUGAAAUCAGGAAUCAAACUCAAACUUAGGAUCCCCAUGCUAUACUGCAGCUCCUCAUGUCGCAAAUGUAAUUAUUAUGCAACUAUCUUUCAAGUGUGUCUCCCCACCUAGAGACCAGGGACUGUGACUGUCACAUUCACCACAUUCACCACCUCCAGCACUCAGCCUGGCACACGAGGGGAGGUUAAUAAAUAUGUGUGGAAUUAGAUCAUUUUGAGUGGGCGGGUGACCCCUGUGGGCCUUGGGGCACCUGCUUUGUCCUCGUCCUGUGUGGACCCCCAUGGGAAGUGAACUCGAUUUCCUAGAAGCGAAGGAUGGGUCUGCCCUGGCUUUGCAGAUUGGCCUCCAAGGUGCCCAGUCCUUGACAGCGUCCUGCUAGACCCGCCAGCACGGACUGGUGGCCCGCAGCCAGAAUUGGUUCGCAGACGUGUUGUGUUCGGCCCAUGCUGUGUUCUACAUUUUCGAAUUAGUUGACAAUUAAUUCUACUUGAAAAUGUGGUUUCAGGCUUAUCUGGAAAAAGUAGGAAGAUCUGGCAGCGCUGCGCUCAGUCCCACCCAGACACAGUCAGCAGGCUCUGGGCGGCUGCUGCCCCCUUGAGGUGGGACACGCGCUCUGCAGCUCUCCGUUCCUCUGGCCUGCUCCUGUCCUUCACCGGACUGCAGGCCCCAGCCGCAGGCCUAGAGUUGGCGGUCCCUCACAUAGAUGACAGCAACAACAUCAGUUGGUCAAACAUUUUUUUUAGGUUAAAAGUCCAAUCAGUACAAAAAGAUGUAUAACAAAAAGUGACUCAUCUUCCUCUGGUGUCCCCCAGCUCCCCUCCCCGCAGGCCACAGAUCCCUGUGUGUCCCUCCACAGAUGUGCUGCACUUCUAUGAGCACAGUCACCAGACACCUCUUAUGGGUCAGACAGCAGCUGGGCAUCAGAGUCACAUGGCACUUUUUCAAAAUGUCAAGGGGCCAGCCCGGUGGUGCAGCGGUUAAGUGCGCACAUUCUACUUCCUGGCGGCCCGGGGUUCGCCAGCCCAGAUCCCGGAUGUGGACAUGGCACCGCUUGGCAAGCCAUGCUGGGCAGGCGUCCCACAUAGAAAGUAGAGGAAGAUGGGCACAGAUGUUAGCUCAGGCAGGGUCAGUCUUCUUCAGCAAAAAAUAGGAGGAUUGGCAGCAGUUAGCUCAGGGCUAAUCAUCUUCAAAAAAAAAAAAAGUUUUCGAGACUCAGGACCCUUGUCAGACCUCUGGAGGUAGAAUUCCUAAAAUUGGAGCCAGAGUGUCUACAUUUUUUUAAGCCAGUGUUUUCUGUUGCUCAACCAGGCGGAGACCUCUGUACUCAAGAUGCAACGUCCCAGACACAAUUCCUGCUCCCCAGUCCCCUGAAGUCUGCCAGAGAUGGGCCCGGAGCUCCAACUACCUGGGCCACUGCUCAGAGUUGUACAGACUGUACCCUGCGCAGGGGCACCCAGACAAGCCCUGAAAUCUGGUCAAACCCUCGAACCAAGGCAGGUGACACCACAUCCAACCCCCAGAGGCGCUGGCACCACCUUCGAAUUUACUAUGUCAACUGUUCCAUGUGAAUGCAGGGAGACCUGUUCUGUGAUGCAGCAGCGCAGGCGGGGGCCCUCAGUCUGGCUGCAGGCCCGGGAUGACUUUCUGCAGGAGGUGAUGCUUGGGCCAAGUUUUGUAUAGAGUUGGAAUCAAAGAAGGCGGGCCUCUACCUGUACAUACUUCUCUCUCCCAGGUCGCCCCACUCCAACCCCGACCCCACAGCUCUGUAUGCUUAUCAGGGGCCACUGGCGGGGACACUUUAAUAACAAUGUACAUCCUGAAGGUCCUGGGAGACAGACUGGGAUGGAAGGAGGGAUCCAGCCGUAAGUCAGCGCAGCGCGCCUGGCCUGGGACAUCUUGAGGUUAAUUGACUUGGUGUCCAGAAGUACCUGCUUAGGGGAACAGGGAUGCAGGAGCCUUGUUCCUUCUGGCAAUCUGAGAGGUUCUGCAACGCCAGCAUCCACCUCUCAACAGCCUGAAUCGAUGCUAUCAAAGAGGUGUCCUCAGACCACGGCCAAUCCACAGACUGUUACCCAUCUGCAAUGAGCUAAGUACAGAAAUGGAAAGUAAGCAUUUAGAAACUUUUAAACAAUCUAACAAGGUCGGUUAAAGUCGAGGCUAGUAUUGUGCAUCUUUUUUUAAAUUUCAUUUUAUCUAUUAAAAUUUUUUAUUAUAAAAUAUACCGUUUUAACUAUUUUUAAGUGUAUAAUUCAGUGGCAUUAAGUACAUCCACAAUGUUAUAUAACCAUUACCUCUAUCUUGUAUAUUUCUUUCUUUCUUUUUUUUUUUUUGAGGAAGAUUCGCCCUGAGCUAGCAGCCACCGCCAAUCCUCCUCUAUUUGCUUAGGAAGGCAGACCCUGAGCUCACAUCCGUGCCCAUCUUCCUCUACUUUAUAUGUGGGACGCCUGCCACAGCAUGGCUUGACGUAGCACGUAGGUUCCGCACCCAGGAUCGGAAUCAGCAAACCCCGGGCUGCUGAAGCGGAAUGUGCGAACUUAACCACUGUGCCACCGGCCUGGCCCUCGUAUAUUUCUUUAAUUUUGCAAAAGUAUAAGUUCUCAGCAGAUUAGAAAAAAAUUUUUAAUGUCGUUUGAGAAGCACUGGCCUCAAUGUUGACCUCUGGGUUCCCAAAGCCUCAAAGGCUUGGGGGAAAUAGGCACCUGAUUGAAGGGCUUGUACAUUGUUUGGCUUCAUUUCCCCAAACUGUUGAGAUUUGCCCCAGAGAGUGGCAUGGCUGAGGCCCAGCCUCCCUGGGCUGGAGGAGCGGACGGAUGGGCACCAACCUGGAAGGGAGUGGAGGAGGCCUUGUGCUCCCCGGGCUGGGCAGAGGAGUGCUCUCCGGGGAAAGGCCUGCCCUGUGCCCUGGGCAAGGGGGCCCAAUGAGAUGCUGCAGGAUGUUCUGGCAGCCUUUCCCCCACUCAGCCGGCGGGGGGAGGCGAGUUGGUUUAGACUUCCAAGAAUGUCAGCUCCGACUGGAAGGGCCCUCAGUGACCCUGUUGUCUGCCCUCCUUGUUUAGAGGAAGAGCUUGAGGCUGGAGAGAAAGGACUUGCCCAAGGUUACAGCCAGUUAGUGGUGCUCCCAAAUCUAGGCCUUUCAGUUCCCAGGCAGGAGCGGGCCAGAGGUGUCUGGAGUCACACAGGAUGGGAUCAAGUUCUAGCUCUAUUAGCGCCAAGGGGCCUUGGGCAUCUGUACCCUCAUCUGUCAAAUGGGGAUAAUCCCUCACAGCUGGACGCGUACUGAGCCUGUGCUGGGUUUAAGGAGGGGCCUAGCCCAGGUUGGGGGAUAGGCAGGACGAGUCAGUGCCCUGCCCCUCCCUGCCCCUUCCUGCCCAGUGUUCCUCCUGCCGACUGCUGGGGCUUCUCAGCCUGCCACGGCCCCUUGCUGCAGCUGAGGGGACAGAGGAAGACAGACCCUCUCCCUCCAGACUGAGAAGAACAGGGGGCUCAUAACCUACCCCACCGGCCCCUCUGAGCCUCUCCCUCCCCAGCUGGCCAGCCCUCCAGGCCCGACCCCUCCGCUAACUCUCUGGGCAUCUUUGAGACAUUUUUGUCCUUUCUGGGACUCAGAACAUUUAUAAAAUGAAGGAGUUGAAUCAGAAGAACUCGAAAGUCCAUUUUGAGGAGUGGGUGCUGAAGUUUGGAUGCUUUAAAUUUCUGUAUCUUUUCUGGGAGAGUUAAACUCCCAGCAUGUCAGACUGGGCCGCCUCGGGUUCCUGGCCACCUGCCUCCCUCUGUUCUUGCCUUUCUCCGUACUUUCUCUCUCCCUCCAGUCUCUCUUUUCUCUCUUAUGGCUGAGGUGUUUUGAGCGCUUACCAUUUGCUAUGCACUGUUUAAGCAUUUUACAUAUUCCAUCCUGUGGAAUCCUUAAAACAUCCUUGUGAAGUAAAUACUAUUCUUAUCCCAUUUUCCAGACAAGGAAACUGAGGUUCGGAGAGUUACGUCACUGACCCACAGCUGGUCAGUGGGAGCGCCAUAGGAGGCACUGACACCAUUCCCCAGAUGGGCAGUUCAUUCUGGCCUGAAUUCACCUAAUUCAAAAUGGCGGGUGCCUGUUCUCACCUCCUCCCUCCUGUUUUCCCCAAAUGGGCUCUGACUCCCACCCCAGAGACGCCCCUGCUGGGCGCAUCACCAGGGCCGUCAGGGAGGAGGGUUUGGCUGUUGGUGGGCAGAGGAUCACUCCUCGGUUCCAGUUUCUGACUUGUAUCUCAGGUAUCAGGCCUCUACCUUCCACCUCCUUCCUCUCCUUUCUCUUCAGAUGUCCAAGAGCUGGAAGGUCCCCUAAGGGAUUACCCAGAACAGGCCUCUGCAUUCAAUCACUUAUUCAUUCACUGAACAAGUACAUUUCGAGUCCUCCUACCUGCCAGGCAGUGUUAGGCCCUGGGGAGACAGCUAUGUACAGGGCAGACAAGCUCCCUGUCCUCAAGAGCUUACAUUCUGGUGGAGGAGACAGACAAUAACAAAAGAUGAUGAGUGCAAUGGAGAACAUGAAAGGGGUGCUGUGACACACAGUGACCGCAGCAGGGGCGAGGUCCUCUACAGAGUAGGUGGGCAGGCGGCAGUGCACUCCUGGCAGAGAGAACAGCUAGUGCAAAGACCCAAAGGCAGGAACCAGCAGGUGUGAGGAAGGAGCACAAAGCCCUGCAUGGCUGGAGAGGAUGAGCAAGGGGCCCAGGGCAAGGGGGCUGGGCAGCGCCAGCCAUGCAGACCUUGGGCCAGGACGAGGGGUCGCAUUCUGUUCUGUGUGUGAUGUGAAGCCUCUGGGGACUUUAAGCAGGGGGUGAUUAUGUUUGUAAAGGACUCUUGGGCCACUGCGAGGAGAGUGGAUGUAAGGGGAGCAGGAGUGCGGGAGGGAGAAAUGAGGGUGGCUUGGACUAGGGGGGGUCAAUGCGAUAAAGAGACAAGGUCAGAUUCAGAGUCUAUCACAGUGGAGCCAACAGGAUGCUGAUGGAUGAGAUGUGGGCCGGGGCGGGGUGGGGGGGGUGAGGGAUGCCCCCUGGGGUUUUUCGCCUGGGCAGCUGAGUGAAUGGAGGUGUCAUCUACUCAAAUGGAAAAGCCUGGAGAAGGAACCCGGAUGGAAAGAAGCAAUGUUUCCACUUAACCUUCAUGGCAGACCCUGCUAGCUGGCUUCCCAGCAAAUCUAUUCUCUCUCCUUCUUUUUCAUAAUAGAAGGCCGAAAGGUUUUUUUUUUUUCUUCAAGCAUUGACCUGUCUGUCCCCUCCUUCUGCCUUUUGCCCUUUUCCCAUCCUCCUUUCUCCGGCCUGGAAUGGAGACAGGAUACUAGAGAUACAGCAGCCAUCUUGUGACAACUAGGGUAGAGGCCACUGGAUAAGAUAGCUGGAGCGGGGAGAUAGAUGGCGCCUGAGCCCUUGAUACUAUCACUGAGCUGGCAUAGCAGUCUUUGACUGCCUUUCCCCCGGGUUCUUGUUGUGGGAGGCAAAUUAAUCCUUUUAUUUGUUUAAGCCACUGUUUUGUGGCUUUUCAUUGCUUGCUGCGGAAUGCAGUUGUUGCUAACAGAGUCAUGUUGAGUUUGAGAUUUUGGAGGAGAAACCAGAAUUCAGUCAUUCAUUCAAGAAAUAUGUAUUGAGGACCUACUAUGCGCCAGGCACUGCUGAGAAUUCAGCAGUGGAUCAAACAGGUAAAAAUGCCUGCCCUUGAGGAGUUUAUACUCUGGAGUAACCUAGAAGCCGGACCUGACUUCUGGGCUAUGCAUUCUCAUUUGAUCCAAAGGUGGUAAGAUUUGAACUAUAAAGAGGGGACAGGGGUAAAAUGUGGCCUGUCUAUUCUCACAGGCUUCCUCAUCCACCCAUUAUGUUAGCAAAUUGAAAAUCAACAUAUUGGGGCCCGCCCCGGUGGCGCAGUGGUUAAGUGCGCGCGUUCUACUUCAGCGACCCGGGGUUCGCCGGUUUGGAUCCCGGGUGUGGACAUGCCAUCACUUGGCACGCCAUGCUGUGGUAGGCGUCCCACACAUGGAGUAGAGGAAGCUGGGCACGGAUGUUAGCUCAGGGCCAGUCUUCUUCAGCAAAAAGAGGAGGGUUGGUGGCAGAUGUUAGCUCAGGGCUAAUCUUCCCCAAAAACAAAUUAAAAAAUAAAUUUAAAAAAUUAAAAAAAAAAUCAACAUACUUCUCUGGUGUUUUCUAUAAGCCAAACACUAGGCUGCAUUCUCUCUCUGUGAGGGAGGUGUUAUUAUUACCAAGCCCAUUUUGCAGGAUGGUAAGCAAGCCGCCUCUGUCACACAACUAAGUGGCUGUGCUGAGAUUUGAACCCGGGGCUUUCUGACUCCAGAAACUCCACUGCACUCACUGACCCCCUGGGCCACCUCUUGGCCCCCUUUUCCUGCAAUCCUUUUGAUCACUGUUUGACAAACCAUUUCCUGCUUCCCCUUUCUCCUUGCUUUGGACAGGUACUAUGUCUCUUAUUCAUCUGUAUAUUCCGGGCACCUAACGAGGGCCUGGCACCCUUCAUCCAUUCAUCCCACUUUUCAAAAAAUGUUCUCUGUGCCAAUUGCUAGGAAUACAGGACAAGUCACAGAACAGCACACCCAGCCUAGGAGGGGGACAGGCAAUUAACAGGCGUCACAGUGUGGUGGGUGCUGGUAGGUAUCACAGGGGCCAAGAGAAGCACAGAAAAGGGCAACCAAGUCAGACUGAGGUGGUGGGGACCAGUCAACCAGUCGUGGAGGAGUCAGCAUCUGAGCUGAGUCCCAAAGGAGAAACAGGAGUAGAGCAGGUGAAAAAGCAGCCGUGGGUGUUUCAGGUGGAGGGAGCAGCACGUGGAGGAACGAGAGAGGCAAGACGGCAGCCUGUGGGAGCGACUGGACUAUGACAUGGGGGGAGUAGGGAGGCAUGAGGCUGGGGGAGGAUCUCAAGGCCCUCAGCCAGGGCUAGCAGUUUGGACUUGAUUUGGUAGGCACUGGGGAGCCGCCAAUGGGCGCUGAGCAGUGUGGGCCCUGGUCAGAUUUGCCUGGGCACUCUACAAAUACUUGAUGGAAUGAAUGAAUGAAAGAAGAAAUGGUAACUAUGGGGUCCCAUGCAUGUGUCCUGCAGAGAGGAGGGGGCGGUUAAUGAUCUGGCAGUGGAAGGACAAGGCAGGCAGACUCCCGGACACGAGCCAACCACUUCCCUCAGCUCCUCCUCCCUGGGCCUGUGACUCCCCUGCCUGGACACUAGUCACUUGCUGGGAUCUUUACGGGAGCCUCUGCACUAGUCCCCCUCUUUCUGCCCUGGCCUCUACAGUGUGUUCUCUAACACAGCCCCGGUGACCCUCUGAAGUCGGGUUCUCCACCCCAGCGCUCUGCCCAACCCCUUUGCCACCUCAGCUACAUCAAAAUGGAAGAAGAAAUUGCUGCUCUCGGCGUUUACAAUGGCUCUGGCAUGUGCAAAGUUGGCUUUAGCGGAAUGAUGCCCCCAGAGCAUCAUGGGAAAUGUGGGACAGGACAGAUACAUGGGUGAUGAGCUCAGAGCAAGAGCGACGUUCUGAGCCUGAAGCGCCUCAUUGAACUGGGCUGACAUGGAGAAAGACCUGGCAUCACACCCUCUACCCCCAGCUUCCUGUUGCCCCAAGGAACACCCUCUUCUCUUUACCAAAGUUCCACUGACCCCCAAGAGCAAUAGGGAGAGGACGGCCCAGCUCAACACCCUCCAGGCAUGCUGCUGCCCGGGUCGGGCCCUCCUCCAGGUGGUUGUGGACUCUGGAGUAGUGUUGCCCUCACAGUGCCUAUCAGUGAGGGUGACACCCUGCCCUCAGUGAGGGUGACACCCUGCCCUACGCCGGCCUCUGGACUUGACUGACCGUGACUUGGGAGAUGACCUCCUGGAGGAGAGCCUGACGGAAAGAGGUUACAGCCUCGCUACCACAGCUGAGAGGGACUGGUGUGUGACGCGGAGGGAAAGCUCUGCUGCAUCACCCUGGACCUGGAGCAGGAGAUGGCCCCCGCUGUGUCCUCCGCUUCCUCCCCGGAGAAGGGCUGUGAGCUUCUGAUGGUCAGGAGGUUGUCCUUGGCCAUGAGAGGUCCAGAUGUCCAGAGCGUCUCCUCCAGCCCUCGUUCCUGGGCUUGGCGUCCUGUGACAUUCAUGAAACCACUUUUAACUCGGUUCUGAAGUGUGCGAUUGACCUCUGAAAGGAUCUGUGUGCCCACACAGCAUUGCAGGGGGGCCAACAGAACGCAGGGAGAAAUCACGGCCAAUGAAGACAGUUUCUCCUUAGGCACUAAAAAUCCGGAGCGGUGGCUUCCUUGCAGGCUGCUCUCUCCGCCUUCCAGCAGAUGUGGAUCAGCAAGCAGCAGGGGGACGGGUCAGGCCCUCUGACUGUCCGCUACAAAUGCCUCCAAUGAUGCAACUGCAGAAUGUCUGUUGCAUGAGUUCAUUCACAAGUAUAACUUUACCCUGGCAAAAUAUAUACGCUUACGCUGGCCUCCUGAAACUGGAGCAGCUUUUGAGAAGAAAUCUGCCCAAUACUGAAAUGAACACCAUCCUCGGGUUGUAAAAUAAGAGAGAUGCUUCCGGAGGCCGGAGACUGAGCCUGUCCUGUUCUGUCCUGUGUCCCUGGCACCUGGAAUAGGGCCCAGCACACAGUAGAUGGAGAAACUGAGGCCCAGAGAGGGGAAGCGAUGUGUCCCAGGUCACAGAGAAAGCUAGCGACAGACAAUGGACUCAAACCCACGGCACCGUCUGGGCUUUUGCCUCUCUUCUCGUCCCGUCCUUCUGUCCCGCCCACCCUUUCCUCCCACAGGCCUGCAGCCAAUCUUUCCCAAGUGCCACUUUGGGCCAGCCUGGUGCCCUGGGCCCUGGGCUUCCUGCCCUGGAAGCUCAGGCUGCCUGAGGCUAUGUCAUUGCCACUUCCUCCUGUCAGACCUCCAGAGCUGCCUGCCCCUCCUCCCCACACCCUGUCCCGGCCACAGACUCUGCUACUCGUUUAAAAAUCCUGAUGCCCAGGUUGCUCCCCAGACCAAUGAGAUCAGAAUGUCUGGCGGGGGGGGGGGGGGGGGGGGGGGGGGGGAGGGGAUGGUCCAGGCAUCAGGGUUUUUUUUUUUUAAGAUGUCGGGGUGAUUCCAUUUGUAGCAAAGUUUCGAAACCUCUGUUUUAGCCUUGAUAAAUGGCACCUCCACCUCCUGUUCCUUGGCCCCUAGGCUGCAGAUAUUCUUUCUCGGGAUCUACUUUCUGGAUGCCUGGGCCUGGGCCCCAGGACAGUCCUCAGCUGGGCAAUCCCAACUCCUUCCUGCUCCUGCCCUUUGCCCAACAGGUCUCCGGUCUGCCGAGAUUGCCUGUUCUGAUCUGCCUCACCACUGCCAGGAACUCACUAAAUAUUUGUUGGUAAUGAUGUUGAUAAAUAUUUGCUGUUAAUGACCUCAGUCUGACCAAGAGGAUCCUUGAUGUAGAAGAAAGAAAAGGGCUUUUUUUUGGUGAGGAAGAUUGGCCCUGAGCUAACAUCUGUUGCCUAUCUUCCUUUUUUUUCGUUCCUCUCCACAGCCCCGGUACAUAGUUGUGUAUCCUAGUUGUAGGUCAUUCUAGUUCUUCUAUGUGGGACGCUGCCACAGCAUGGCUUGAUGAGUGAUGUGUAUGUCUGCGCCCAGGACCUGAACUGGGGAAGCCCAGGCUGCGGAAGCAGAGCACAUGAACUUAACCUUUUGGCCGUGGGGCGGGCCCCAAGAAAAGGGCUUUGAGGUGAGGCAAACUUGGACUCUAGUACCAGCCAGUUCUGCUUUCUGUGUCUGGGUCUCAGUUUACUCAGCUGUGAAGGGAGGUGGAGCAGAGGGAAAAAUGCCUACCUUGUAGUUUGUUAUCAGGAUCAAAGAUACUAUCUAAUAUUUGUACAGGGCCAGCAGCUUGUGACCGGUUCCUCUGGCAACAGGCUGCUCUUGCCCAGGUGGUGGGGAAUGGCGACUGUUUCCAUGGGGAGGAAGUAGAACCUCAGGAAGGAAGGUGGCUGUGAGCCUUCCGAAAAGGACGCUGCCCAAGGGGGCUUCCUCCCAGGGCAGGACAACUGCAGCAGAGAGGUGAAAGGAGGGUGCGGAAGUGGAGGGGUGGGGGUCAUAUGGGACUGGCUAGAGAGUGCCACCACCUUGCCUGGGAGUGCCACGUGCAGUCCCUGCUGGGGAGUUCUCUUGGGAACCCACAAAAGUGCCCCAAGAGGACAGAAUCAGCAUUUGGGUACCUGCUGUGCCCAGAGGCACCGAUGCCCCGUUGCAACCACACCAGACAAAGAAGACAUUUGCUACCUCUAUCUCAUGCUCUGAGCUAUCAGGAAGGAGAAACUUUAGACUGAAAAGGACACGAAAAUUUUGAUCACAAACCAGACCAGACUUUUUAAGAGACCUAGAAAGUGAGACUGUGCUUGUCCACCUGAGAGGGAAAAGCUACAGGAGCAUCUCAAGCAGGAGCAAGAGUCUCCAGAGAAGUUAAAGGGGCUCUGGCUGGAAGGAGUCCUGGGGCCACCUGUGCCACGCCGAGUCGGCUCGGUCCAUGACUGGUUCCCCUGGGACUUGUCUUAUGAAGCCAGUCUGGGCUAGACAUUGAUGGGACUGCUGCCAAACGCCAAACGCUGUGUGGCCUUAGCAGGCCCUUUAUUUCUCUGAGCCUCAGUUUCUCUAGCUGUGAAAUGCCUCUGUUUUCAAAGAGCCUUGCCUGACUGUGCCAGUCUGUAGAAAGAUCUGAGAUCUCUCAGUUCCAAGCAGGAAAAUUAAAUGUGUCCUGAGCCCAGAGUCUGAAGCAAACUCUGGAGGACCUCAGGAAGCCAGGCAGGCGAAUCUGAAAUCAAGCGGCAAGCUGAAAAAUGAUCUCCUCUGUAUAGUGAGGAAAUAAAAAUGAUUUUAAAUUUGCUGUUUAAAAGAUGUUGACUGCAAUGUUAUUUUUAACAGUUUUAUUGAGACAUAAUUUAUAUACCAUAAAAUUUACCUCUUUGAAGUGUGUAAUUCAAUGACUCAGUGAGUUUACAGAGUUGUGCAACCAUCACCACAAUCUAAUUUUAGAAUUAGAUUCUGACUCGGAUGAUUCAAUCAUCCCAGAGAGAGGUCUCAGGCCUAUUCCCACCCCCAGCUCUGGCAACCACUAAUCUGUUUUCUGUUCUUAUAGAUUCGCCUUUUCUGGACAUUUCAGAUCAAUGCAAUUGUGCAGCACGCGUGUCUUGCACCUGGCUUCUUUCCCUCAACACCAUGUUUCUGAGGCUUUUCUAUGUUGCAGCGUGUGUCAGUACCUUGUUCUUUUUUAUAGCCAAACCAUAUGAUAUUGCAUGGAUACACGGUACCACAUGUUACUUACCUUUUCAUCAUUGAUAAGACGUUUGGGCUGUUUCACUUUUGGGGCCGUUAUGGAUAAUGCUCCUUGGAACAUUGUGUAUAAGUCUUGGGUGGACACACUUUUCAACUCUCUUGGGUAGAUUCCCAGGAGUGGAAUUGCUGGGUGAUACGAAAAGUCUAUGUUUGAUUCUUUGAGGAACUGCCAAAUUGUUUUCCACAGUGGCUGCACCAUUUUUACAUUCCCAGAGGCAAUGUAUGAGCGUUCCAGUUACUUCACAUCCCUGACACUUGUUAUUUCUUUCCUUUUUUUCUUUUGGAAGAUUGGCCCUGGGCUAACAUCUGUUGCCAAUCUUCCUCUUUUUUUUUUUUUCUCCUGAACGCCCCCCAGUACAUAGCUGUAUCUCCUAGUUGAAGGUCCUUGUAGCUCCUCUAUGCAGGACGCCACCUCAGCAUGGCUGGAUGAGCGGUGAUAGGUCCGCACCUGGGAUCUGAACCGGUAACCCCAGGCCACCAAAGCAGAGCGUGCGAACCUAACUGCUCCGCCAUGGGGCCGGCCCCUAUUUCUUUUCUUUUUAAUUAUAGCCAUCCUAGUGGGUGUAAAGUGGUAACUUAUUGUGGUUUUGAUUUGCAUUCCUACAAUGACUAAGGAUCCUGACCGUCUUCUCAUGUGCUUAUUGGCCAUUCAUACAUCCUCUUUGGUGAAAUAUCUAUUCAAAUUCAUUGCCCAUUUUAAAGUUUAAUUAUUUAUCUUUUUAUUGAAUUGUGAGAGUUCUUUACAUAUCCUAGAUACAAGUCCUUUAGUAGAUAUGUGAUAUUUGCAAAUGUUUUCUUUCAGUUUGACUUAUCAUUUUUUUUAGUUAAUUUAUCAUAAAUGUAAGCGUUUAUUUCUGGGUAAAUAAAGGGUUAUAAGGGUUUAUUUCUGGGUUAGUACAGAGUUCUCCUUUUUCAGUGUUCUCCUUUUUCAGAAUCGUUUUGCCUAUUUUGGGUCCUUUGCAUUUUCUUAUAAAUUUUAGGGUCGGCUUGUCAAUUUCUGCAAAAAACACCUCCUGGGAGUUUGUUAGGGAUCGAAUUGAAUAUAUAGAUCAAUUUGGAGAGAACUGCUCCUUUAACAUUCUGGAGUCUUCCAAUCCACGAAGAUAAACUCUCUCUCCAUAUAUUUACACCUUUUAAAAUUGCUUUCAGCAAUAUUUUGUAGACCUCCUUGUACAAGUCUUGCACUAUUUUUAUUCCUCAAUAUUUACUUCUCUUUGAUGUGAUUGUAUGCAAUGUUAUUUUAUUUAUUUAUUUUUUACUAGGGCAUAAUUGACAUAUAACGUUACCUUAGUUUCAGGUGUGCAACAUAAUAAUUUGAUAUUUGCGUAUAUUGUAAAACGUUCACCAUGACAAGUCUAGCUAACAUUUGUCACCGUAAGUAGUUGAAAUGUUUUUUCUUUUGAUGAGAACUUUUAAGAUUUACUCUCUUAGUAACUUUGAAAUAUGCCAUACAGUAUUAUUAACUAUAGUCACUAUGCCAUACAUUACAGCCCCAGGACUUAUUUAUUUUAUAACUGGAAGUUUGUACCUUUUGACUCCUUUCAGCCAUUUUACCCACCCCCCACUCUUUCCCUCUGACAACCACAGUCUGUUCUCUGUAUGCAUGAGCUCAGUCUUUUUGUUUUGUUUUUGUUUUUUGUUGUUUUUUUUUUUUGAGGAAGAUUAACCCUGAGCUAACACCUGCUGUCAAUCCUCCUCUUUUUUUUUUUUUUUUUUUUUUGCUGAGGAAGACUGGCCCUGAGCUAACAUCCGUGCCCCUCUCCCUCCACUUUAUUUGAGGGCUGCCUACCACAGCAUGACUUGCCAAGCGGUGCCAUGUCUGCACCCGGGAUCUGAACCAGCGAACCCCGGGCCACCAGAGUGGGACAUGUGCACUUAACAGCUAUGCCACCAGGCUGGCCCUGUUUUGUUUUGUUUUAAAUUCCAUAUAUAAGUGAAAUCAUACCAUAUUUAUCUUUCUCUAUCUGACUUAUUUCACUUAGUAUAAUCCCCUCAAGUUCUAUCCAUUGUUGUUGCAAAUGAAAAGAUUUUGUUCUUUUUUUGUGGCUGAAUAAUAUUCUACUGUAUGUAAAUACACCACAUUUUCUUUGUCCAUUCAUCCAUCAAUAAACACUUAGGUUGUUUCCAUGUGCAAUGUUAUUUUAAUACUGAAAGAAAAAGAGAAAGAAAGAAAAAUAAAAGUAUCCUGAAUACGCAGCAUUUGAGAAAUCAUUGAGCAAAUUAUGGUCUGUUCUAUUGAUGGGACAUUUUGGAACUAUUAAAAGUGAUUGUUAUGUGUUUCCCCAGAAAGAGCUCUCUGAUCAUGUUGGACCACAGAGAAGACUGAGGGAAGGGACAAUACCUGAUUCAUCUCCCUUUUCCCAGGACCGAGCAGAGAGCCAGGCACAGACUAGAUGCUCUGUGUGGUAGCCACUAGUGCUGGCCACCAAAUAUUUCUUUCUUCUCCUGUUGCACUUCCUUGCUCCUUCAAGUUAGUUGUGGCCAAGUGACUUGCUUUCAUCAACAAAAUGUGAAUGGAUGUGAUAUGCAUCACUCCUGAGCAGAAACUUUAAAAGUCAGUGAGCAACUUAACCAUACUCUUAAUCUUGGAGGAGGUGGCUGGCUGCACCAUCACACUGGACCCUGCAGUGAGAAUGACAAGGACAUGCCGCUCUAUAGCCAAUUGACAUGUAGAGUGAGCAAGAACUACAGGCUGAUUUAAGCUGCUUAGAUAUUGGCAUCGUUUGUUACUGCAGCAUAACCUAACUCAUCCUGACUAUUAUAUGGAUAAAUGUUUGGUGAAAAAAAUGAAUGGAACUAAAGAGCAGAACAUUAAAUUCUCUGUCUUUUCUGAUUAAAACUAUGAAAAACAAUGUCGGAAUAUGG